GAGUUUGAUCCUGGCUCAGAACGAACGCUGGCGGCGUGGAUAAGACAUGCAAGUCGAACGAGAAACUUACUUAGCUUGCUUUGAAAGUUUCUAGUGGCGGACGGGUGAGUAACACGUGAGUUACCUGCCCCGAAGUGGGGGAUAGCCUUCCGAAAGGGAGAUUAAUACCCCAUGUGAUCGCAAGAUUAAAGGCGGCCAUCUUUGAUGGCUGUCGCUUCGGGAUGGGCUCGCGGCCUAUCAGCUAGUUGGUGAGGUAACUGCUUACCAAGGCGAUGACGGGUAGCUGGUCUGAGAGGACGACCAGUCACACUGGAACUGAGACACGGUCCAGACACCUACGGGUGGCAGCAGUCGAGAAUCAUUCGCAAUGGGCGAAAGCCUGACGGUGCGACGCCGCGUGGAGGAUGAAGGCCCUAGGGUCGUAAACUCCUGUCAUCAGGGAGUAAUGGCUCACGUAGUAACUGCCGUGAGCAGUGAUAGUACCUGAAGAGGAAGGGACGGCAAACUUCGUGCCAGCAGCCGCGGUAAUACGAAGGUCUCAAGCGUUGUUCGGAUUUACUGGGCGUAAAGCGUCUGUAGGCGGAGUGGUAAGUCAGAUGUGAAAUCCCGGGGCUCAACCCCGGAACUGCAUCCGAUACUGCCACCCUAGAGGGUCGGAGGGGAGUCUGGAAUUCUCGGUGUAGCAGUGAAAUGCGUAGAUAUCGAGAGGAACACUAGUGGCGAAGGCGAGACUCUGGACGACACCUGACGCUGAGAGACGAAGGCCAGGGU
rnacentral:rRNA from 1 species